UACCCGCCCCACUAUGCUGCGCCACGCCACUCCGACUCCUACGUCGCUAGCUCGGCACCACCCUCCGCCGCGACGCUGGGUCUCUGCCUCCUGCGCAGAUUCUCUCCGUCCCGUCGGCCUCCUCCUCUCCAACUCCUCCGCCGCCGCGCCGCCGGGGCACGAGCCGCUCAUGCGCUCGGCACCCCCUCCGCCGCCGCCUCCAUGCACACACUGUGUCCGAAGCAACGCGCGGACCUCUCCACUGCGACGCCUCAAGUCCAUGUCGCCAUCCUCACAGAGCCGAGAAGGCCACCUUGCCGCCGCCACCAAGUCCAGAGCAGCACGCGACGCUCGGUCCACCACCUCCAUGCGUGUUGUGUCCGAAAUGACGCGUGUACCUCCUCGCUGCGACGACUCGGGUUGACGUCGUCGUGCCCCACCGAGAGGCCGCCUCCACGCAGCCGUCCCUACCACGUCCGGAUCACCCCUCGUGCCCGGCGUCGCGAACUCACAUGCCCGCUCCUCCCCUGCCAGUUCACGGAUGAUUCGGGGUCAGAGCGAAGCCUCUCCUUGAUUCCUGAGCACGGGCGUCUCCGGCCUCACCCGGCCUCCCCGCUGCGCGUGGCCACUGCUGGCCUCGCUGGCACCGGGGCACGUGGCCGCCUCCGGCCUCCCCUGCGGGGUGCAGGCGCCUCCCCCGACUGCUCGCCUUCGAUUCAGAAGUUGUUCAUAGCACAACAUUGGCAGCUAAUGCAACCAGUUCACCAUAUGUGAUGAUCUGAUGCUGUCUGUUCCUGUGCGAGGCGUAAUUUUUCCCAGCAACAGAAGCACAGUAGCACGAAAGAUCCUGUGCGAGGCCAGAUGCGCUAGGCAGCAGCAGUGUGCUCUUUUGUUGUGGAUAUGCUUGCGGAAAAGGAGAGAAAGGAGCAGAUAGAGGGAUUUGCCAAAGGAGUUCGCUAAUGAAAUCAGUGUAAUCAUCAUACAGACUGUAGACCCGUUUCAGUUCCUUUUUACAAGGCUAAAUUGCGCACAUUGUUUAGCAAUGGUCGGCACAAAAUAAUUUGUGGGCGGUGGUGGCCGAUUGGUCCAGCGAGGCAAAUAUCUAAUAAACACUUAUAACACUUGGUGAAAGGUUGACUGAUGCAUCUGGUUUCUGUUUCAAAAUAUUUUAUUUGUAGCAGUCUGAGUUUUUGUUUCUAAUGGCUUGUAGGUAACUCUGCUCAGUUUCUGUUGGCUAGAAGGUUGCAGGGAUAGAUGCGUGCUAUAGUUGAAAACAGAAACAGUUAUCGAAUAAGGUGAAAAAAAGGUUUUGAGUAUGAUAUUUGGUGCACAGGUGCUGAUGGAAUUGCAUGGGAGAGCUUCAGACCUCCAUUAAGAGAAACACCGUGGCUAUAUUUUUUUCUAAAGGACACCAUGACUAUAUUGCUAGGCUGCUUGAUGCUGAUGCCAGCAAUUGUUUGGUUUGCUUUAUUUCUGCAGAUAAGCUAAAAUUUUAGUGAACCAUUGCAGUUGGUCUAUACUUUGUUGUGGGUGUCCCUGUAGUUGAAGAGUUUCAUAUAUAUGUUAGAUUUCUAGAACCUCUUAGAAGAAAAGAAUUAUACAUGGUAAUUCUUAAAUAUAAAUAACCUUAUAUGUAUACGCUGCCAUCUAAAUUAUACAUGAAACUCUGUUGUUGAAGCACCGAGUCUUGAUGCUAAGGGUACCAU